rnacentral:rRNA from 1 species
GGUUAAGCGACUAAGCGUACACGGUGGAUGCCCUGGCAGUCAGAGGCGAUGAAGGACGUGCUAAUCUGCGAUAAGCGUCGGUAAGGUGAUAUGAACCGUUAUAACCGGCGAUUUCCGAAUGGGGAAACCCAGUGUGUUUCGACACACUAUCAUUAACUGAAUCCAUAGGUUAAUGAGGCGAACCGGGGGAACUGAAACAUCUAAGUACCCCGAGGAAAAGAAAUCAACCGAGAUUCCCCCAGUAGCGGCGAGCGAACGGGGAGCAGCCCAGAGCCUGAAUCAGUGUGUGUGUUAGUGGAAGCGUCUGGAAAGGCGCGCGAUACAGGGUGACAGCCCCGUACACAAAAAUGCACAUGCUGUGAGCUCGAUGAGUAGGGCGGGACACGUGGUAUCCUGUCUGAAUAUGGGGGGACCAUCCUCCAAGGCUAAAUACUCCUGACUGACCGAUAGUGAACCAGUACCGUGAGGGAAAGGCGAAAAGAACCCCGGCGAGGGGAGUGAAAAAGAACCUGAAACCGUGUACGUACAAGCAGUGGGAGCACGCUUAGGCGUGUGACUGCGUACCUUUGACUAAUGGGUCAGCGACUUAUAUUCUGUAGCAAGGUUAACCGAAUAGGGGAGCCGAAGGGAAACCGAGUCUUAACUGGGCGUUAAGUUGCAGGGUAUAGACCCGAAACCCGGUGAUCUAGCCAUGGGCAGGUUGAAGGUUGGGUAACACUAACUGGAGGACCGAACCGACUAAUGUUGAAAAAUUAGCGGAUGACUUGUGGCUGGGGUGAAAGGCCAAUCAAACCGGGAGAUAGCUGGUUCUCCCGAAAGCUAUUUAGGUAGCGCCUCGUGAAUUCAUCUCCGGGGUAGAGCACUGUUUCGGCAAGGGGUCAUCCCGACUUACCAACCCGAUGCAAACUGCGAAUACCGGAGAAUGUUAUCACGGGAGACACACGGCGGGUGCUAACGUCCGUCGUGAAGAGGGAAACAACCCAGACCGCCAGCUAAGGUCCCAAAGUCAUGGUUAAGUGGGAAACGAUGUGGGAAGGCCCAGACAGCCAGGAUGUUGGCUUAGAAGCAGCCAUCAUUUAAAGAAAGCGUAAUAGCUCACUGGUCGAGUCGGCCUGCGCGGAAGAUGUAACGGGGCUAAACCAUGCACCGAAGCUGCGGCAGCGACACUAUGUGUUGUUGGGUAGGGAGCGUUCUGUAAGCCUGUGAAGGUGUGCUGUGAGGCAUGCUGGAGGUAUCAGAAGUGCGAAUGCUGACAUAAGUAACGAUAAAGCGGGUGAAAAGCCCGCUCGCCGGAAGACCAAGGGUUCCUGUCCAACGUUAAUCGGGGCAGGGUGAGUCGACCCCUAAGGCGAGGCCGAAAGGCGUAGUCGAUGGGAAACAGGUUAAUAUUCCUGUACUUGGUGUUACUGCGAAGGGGGACGGAGAAGGCUAUGUUGGCCGGGCGACGGUUGUCCCGGUUUAAGCGUGUAGGCUGGUUUUCCAGGCAAAUCCGGAAAAUCAAGGCUGAGGCGUGAUGACGAGGCACUACGGUGCUGAAGCAACAAAUGCCCUGCUUCCAGGAAAAGCCUCUAAGCAUCAGGUAACAUCAAAUCGUACCCCAAACCGACACAGGUGGUCAGGUAGAGAAUACCAAGGCGCUUGAGAGAACUCGGGUGAAGGAACUAGGCAAAAUGGUGCCGUAACUUCGGGAGAAGGCACGCUGAUAUGUAGGUGAAGCGACUUGCUCGUGGAGCUGAAAUCAGUCGAAGAUACCAGCUGGCUGCAACUGUUUAUUAAAAACACAGCACUGUGCAAACACGAAAGUGGACGUAUACGGUGUGACGCCUGCCCGGUGCCGGAAGGUUAAUUGAUGGGGUCAGCGCAAGCGAAGCUCUUGAUCGAAGCCCCGGUAAACGGCGGCCGUAACUAUAACGGUCCUAAGGUAGCGAAAUUCCUUGUCGGGUAAGUUCCGACCUGCACGAAUGGCGUAAUGAUGGCCAGGCUGUCUCCACCCGAGACUCAGUGAAAUUGAACUCGCAGAAGAUGCAGUGUACCCGCGGCAAGACGGAAAGACCCCGUGAACCUUUACUAUAGCUUGACACUGAACAUUGAGCCUUGAUGUGUAGGAUAGGUGGGAGGCUUUGAAGUGUGGACGCCAGUCUGCAUGGAGCCGACCUUGAAAUACCACCCUUUAAUGUUUGAUGUUCUAACGUUGACCCGUAAUCCGGGUUGCGGACAGUGUCUGGUGGGUAGUUUGACUGGGGCGGUCUCCUCCUAAAGAGUAACGGAGGAGCACGAAGGUUGGCUAAUCCUGGUCGGACAUCAGGAGGUUAGUGCAAUGGCAUAAGCCAGCUUGACUGCGAGCGUGACGGCGCGAGCAGGUGCGAAAGCAGGUCAUAGUGAUCCGGUGGUUCUGAAUGGAAGGGCCAUCGCUCAACGGAUAAAAGGUACUCCGGGGAUAACAGGCUGAUACCGCCCAAGAGUUCAUAUCGACGGCGGUGUUUGGCACCUCGAUGUCGGCUCAUCACAUCCUGGGGCUGAAGUAGGUCCCAAGGGUAUGGCUGUUCGCCAUUUAAAGUGGUACGCGAGCUGGGUUUAGAACGUCGUGAGACAGUUCGGUCCCUAUCUGCCGUGGGCGCUGGAGAACUGAGGGGGGCUGCUCCUAGUACGAGAGGACCGGAGUGGACGCAUCACUGGUGUUCGGGUUGUCAUGCCAAUGGCACUGCCCGGUAGCUAAAUGCGGAAGAGAUAAGUGCUGAAAGCAUCUAAGCACGAAACUUGCCCCGAGAUGAGUUCUCCCUGACUCCUUGAGAGUCCUGAAGGAACGUUGAAGACGACGACGUUGAUAGGCCGGGUGUGUAAGCGCAGCGAUGCGUUGAGCUAACCGGUACUAAUGAACCGUGAGGCUUAACCUU